rnacentral:rRNA from 1 species
GGAUGAACNCNGGNNGGNGNGNCUUAAUACAUGCAAGUAGAACGCUGAAGCUUGGUGCUUGCACCGAGCGGAUGAGUUGCGAACGGGUGAGUAACGCGUAGGUAACCUGCCUCUUAGCGGGGGAUAACUAUUGGAAACGAUAGCUAAUACCGCAUAAAAGUCGAUAUCGCAUGAUGUUGAUUUGAAAGGUGCAAUUGCAUCACUAAGAGAUGGACCUGCGUUGUAUUAGCUAGUUGGUGAGGUAACGGCUCACCAAGGCGACGAUACAUAGCCGACCUGAGAGGGUGAUCGGCCACACUGGGACUGAGACACGGCCCAGACUCCUACGGGAGGCAGCAGUAGGGAAUCUUCGGCAAUGGGGGCAACCCUGACCGAGCAACGCCGCGUGAGUGAAGAAGGUUUUCGGAUCGUAAAGCUCUGUUGUAAGAGAAGAACGAGUGUGAGAGUGGAAAGUUCACACUGUGACGGUAACUUACCAGAAAGGGACGGCUAACUACGUGCCAGCAGCCGCGGUAAUACGUAGGUCCCGAGCGUUAUCCGGAUUUAUUGGGCGUAAAGCGAGCGCAGGCGGUUAGAUAAGUCUGAAGUUAAAGGCUGUGGCUUAACCAUAGUACGCUUUGGAAACUGUUUAACUUGAGUGCAGAAGGGGAGAGUGGAAUUCCAUGUGUAGCGGUGAAAUGCGUAGAUAUAUGGAGGAACACCGGUGGCGAAAGCGGCUCUCUGGUCUGUAACUGACGCUGAGGCUCGAAAGCGUGGGGAGCAAACAGG